GUUGUGGAUCAUUGUUGCUGUUCAUUGUUGCUGUUGCUGUCUGUAUGCUGGUGAGUGUUGCUUGUGCUACUGUUUGUAUGUCAGUUGUUAAGUCGCGUUGUCGCGCACUUUAUUUUCAUUCAGUCUGUAGUUAGUUUCGUUUUCCGUUCGUGUUUGGUUUGUUUGUUGUUUAUUAAAACCCACGAACGCGAUAUCUGCCUGCGCCUGGUUCCUUCAACACCACACAACGACGAAGUGUUACAAAUAUCAGUUAUUUUUGCAUAUCAACAUUAAUUAAUCCCGUUUUAGGAAAUGUAAAAUCACCACAAAAAAUGUUUUGACAACAUGUAAAUCUUGUCAGGACUAGAUUACGUUUUUCGACAGUUUCUGUUUUCGUAAUUAGAUUUUGUGGAAAUAUUCCUGAUCUUACAGGAAAAGUCCCGUGUAGAGAGUUCUAUCAAAAGAGGUUUAUUGAGAUGGAGAAAAAACACAAAGUUACUCUGAUCUGUUCAGUUGGAUCGUACAGUUACUGGAGAUAUACAUGGUACAAAGACAACACUAUGAUUACAGUGUACCAGUCUGAAUACAUUAUAUCAGGGAACAACCUCAUCAGAAGAGUUAGAGUCGGAGCAGGGUUCAUACAGAUGCCAUGGAUACCAACAUGACAGACCCACAUCUACAUCCACCAGUGAUCAGGUCACUGUAACUGUGAAAGCUGGUUGAGUUGAAUCAGGACAAAUGCCACAUCACCUGUCCCAGAAGCAGAAGAAGAACCAGCAACAACUGACACAGAACAUAGAACAUUUUCCUUAGUCACACUGUAAAUGAACAACUGACACAUGACAUGCAAUUUAAAGCGUACAGACAACUUCACUUGGUCACACUGUACAGAAACAACUGACACAGAACAUACAAACAAACAAUUUAAAGCUUACAGACAUACAGACACUUUCACUUGGUCACACUUCACUACAGCAACUGACAAAAAAGACAGACACUUUAUUAGGUUCAUUGUAGGUUGCCACACAUUCUUACCAAAACACAUCUGAAUAUUGUAGGUUACAACAGAAAUAGUGUAUAUUAUGGGCUCCAACACACUGGUACAACAACAUUACAGUAUACCUCUAUCAUUGUGGUCUGAUGGACUUAUUGUGUCAUAGAUGUUAGCGCCACCUGUUGGUUGAAGAAGACAGAGGAAAAUGGUCAUCCUCUGCUUAUCAGGGGACAUAGAGUUCAUACUAGGUAACAUGUUGUUGUGAAUAGUGAAUGUUGUCAAGUCAGUGUAUGAGGUUUCAGAUAGAGAAUGACAGAGAUCUGGUCUGAGGGACGGACCAUCCUGCAGUAGAUCCUGCUGGGGAUCCUGGUUGGUAAUCUGGGUCUGGGGAG
ensembl:lncRNA